AAAUAUAUUCACGAAAAGGGGCUGGCUGUGAUAUUUGGAGGAAAUUUGAAUAGGAAAGUGUACACCUUUAUCGCUGGUCGGUUUGCAACUGUAUAUUCGUUUGUCCUUUUUUGUAUAUAAUAUUUCAUGCAGUUCAUAAUUCGUGUAGAUCGAGCAGUUUCUAACGUCGAGUAGUUUAUAACCUAAUCUUAGUUUCCUAACGCUUUGUUUUAUGUACAAUUCAAAUUUAAGUUCGAAAAUAAUUAUCCAAAUUCCAACAUUCCCGGCCACCAAAGAAGAACUUCUUUAAAUUUCAUGCAAAAUAUAAAUCCAAAAAUGAGUUCAAAAAAGAAUUCAAAAACAGUUCGACUCUUGACCUGACGCUUAUCUCCUAUCAUACUGCUCGUGUGUGUAGAUGUGUGAAUGUGUGUUGCGUGUAUCUUGUUCUGCCAUGAGUGCGAAAUGUAAACAAUGUCGCGUGGCUUGCAGCUGCGCGUUACUCAGUGCCAGUGGUUUCCUUCUGCUCUAAGUUGCUAAUUACGUCCGGAUUAGGCAAAACCGCCAGACGAUUAGCUGCGCGGACGAUGUGCUUCCCUGAAGCAGUGCGCAGUGUAACGACGCGAACAACAUCGUCCUUUCCAGGGUGUACUGCAACGAUGCGCCCCAUCGGCCACGAGGUAGGAUGUACAUUGUCUUCCUUAAUAAUCACCAGUGUAUUUUCUUUCAGAACCGCUGAUUUCCCGUUGCAAUAUUUGGCUCGAGCUUGUAACUGCUGCAGGUACUCCGGAUACCAUCGAGCCCAAAUGGUUUGCAGAUGUUUUUGUACCAACUGGUAUUCCCUCAAAUAGUUGCUCGGUGUCUCGGUGUAAUCGAUGAUUGGUACCGCUUGCAGAUUGCCACCGACGAGGAAGUGUCCCGGUGUCAAUGGUUCCAAGUCCGACGGCUCAUCGGAUAGAGGUGUAAUUGGUCGCGAAUUCAAACAUUGCUCUACCUGGGCAAGUAGGCUGCCUUCACCGCCGCCUCCCAUAAACCUCCAAAAUGUGGUGCUCUUGGUGGGAUAAACUUCCACUUCAUAUGAUUCAUCGCGCACCAAUCAAAUAUAGCAGCUCGAUCGUGUUCGUCGCUCUUUAGCAUCUUGUAGACGCGAUUCAGCUCAUGUGCCGCUCCCUUAAAGGUGGUUGCAUUGUCGGAAUGCAGUUCACUGAUUUGACCACGACGUGCAAUCAAACGACGAAGUGCAUUGAUAAAUGCUGUUGAUGUUAAAUCGCCAACCAGUUCGAUAUGUACCGCUCUUGUUGAAAAACAUACAAAUAUGGCGAUGUAUGCUUUAAUCGGACUUCUGUUGCGUAUGGUUUGUUUUAUAUAGAUUGGUCCGCAAUAGUCUACUCCGCAUACUGAGAAUGGUCUUGUUGGUGUGACUCGUGAUGUUGGCAAAUCGGCGAUACUUUGCUUAAUAAGUGUGGGUUUGGCCUUAAAACAUGCGUGGCAACUGUGGUACACAGACUUGCAUAAAUUGCGACCGCCAAUUAUCCAAAAGCUUUGGCGUAGUGUUGUUAAAAGCAGUUGUGGUGCAGCAUGCAGCUUACUCAAGUGUAUCGAAACAGCUAGUAGUGCGGACAGUGGAUGUUUCGAUGAUAAUAUUACCGGGUGUUUUUCUGAUUCCGACAGAUGUGCGUUACUGAGCCGGCCACCAAUGCGCAGAAUACCUUGCGUAUCUAUGAAAGGGGAAAUCCAUUUCAGUUUGGAGUUCUUCGGAAUCUCUUUGCCCUUCUGCAGGUGUUGUAUCUCCUCGGAAAAGGUGUCUUGUUGCGAAAGAUAACACAACUUGAGUUCUGCCGCCUUGAGUUCGUCUACAGUGAGCGGUGGGAUAUCCUUAGCAUGGACCUUGUUUCCUACGCGGCGCUUUGCGUUUUGUAUAAAGCGCAAACAAUGUGCAACAACUCUUUGCAGUUUGUGGUAGAUCGAAAAUCGUGAGAACAAACUGUUUCGAAAUUCGCAGAUUAAUGCUGUGCUUGCAACCCGUGACGAUAACCUUUCUUCUUCUGCGUUCUCAUCUUCGCCUGGUGAUGGUGUGUUCUGUGGCCAUUCUUCCGUGUUGCGUGCUAACCAAUGUGGCCCGUGCCACCAGCGCUCACACACUAGCAACUUUUCCGGCGUUAAACCUCGCGAAAUGUCGUCUGCUGGAUUGUCCGAGCCUGGAACAUGCUUCCAGCAUUGUAUUCCAGCCGUGUGCUGAAUUUUUGCAACCCUGUUUGCAACGAAGGGCUUCCAUCGAUUUGGUGCUGAAUUCAGCCAGUGAAGGACAGUCAUGGAAUCGGUCCAACAGAUGGUGGUAGCAGAAAUUUUCAGUGAUUGCUGGACUUUCUCGUAAAGAAGUGUGGCUAGUCGUGCUGCACAUAAUUCCAAUCGAGCUAUGGAAUGUGCAUUGGAUAACGCAACGACCUUUGACUUGGCUGUUAGCAGCUGCACGGUGACUCCUUCCAUGCUUUCAGCCCGAAUGUAGCAACAAACACUAUAUGCUAGUUGUGAUGCGUCAGCAAAGAUAUGAAUUUGCAGACUUGUUGCCGUGCAUUGCGAUAUGUACCGUGGGACUGUCAAAUUGCGUAGUGAAGAUAAUGUAGAGUGAAAUUUCGACCAUUCAUGCUGUAAGUGCGAUGGUAGCUCGCUGUCCCAGUCAUAUGCCUUUCCAUGAAUCUUGAGAGCCCAUAGUUGCUGCAUGAACAUCUUUGCGAUGAUGAUCGUUGGGCCCAGUAGCCCGAGGGGAUCAAAUAUCUUGGCGAUAUAUGACAAAAUUAACCUUUUCGUCAUGCUGGGUGUUGUAGGUGGUAUCUCAAUACGAAACCGUAGUGUAUCAGUUGCCGGUUCCCAAACGAUGCCUAGUGUGGAUACUUGUUUCGAGCUCUUCCACUCGUGCGAGAGUUGUACCGCCACAUCUUCUGAAGGAACGUUCUUCAAUGCUUCGGAGCGGUUCGAUGCCCAUUUCUUCAGCGUGAAGCCAGCUGAAUUUAGCAUGUCUGAGAUUUGCCUUUGUAUAACGAUUGCUUCGGACAAAUCAUCGGUACCCGUUAGCAAAUCAUCUACGUAAAAAUCGUUCAUGACCGCGUUCAUUGCCAAAGGAUACUCUUCCUUGUGGUCAAGAGCAAUCUGUUUUAGGGUCCUGGUUGCUAAAAAUGGAGCAGAGGCUGUGCCGUACGUAACCGUCUGUAGCUCAAAUGUCGAUAUAGGAUCUGCAGGAUGUUCUCUGUACCGGAUGCGCAGAUAGUUACGGUCAUGAGGGCUAUGUAAAAUUUGUCGAUACAUCUUCUCUACGUCUGCAGUGAGAGCAAUGGCACGAGAACGAAACCGAAGGAUAAUCGAUAAAAGAUCUUCUUGAACGAUUGGUCCCACUAAGAGUUUGUCGUUCAAUGAGUAACCACUCGAAGUCUUACAGGAUGCAUCGAACACGACACGCACCUUCGUGGUUGUGCUUGAUUCCUUAAUGACAGCGUGAUGUGGGAGGUAGUAAUGCUCUACCGAAUCGUUUGCAGGACUGCAUUGGUGUUCAACCGCCGUUCGAUACAACGCAGUCUGCGAUCGGCUAUUUCCUUCGACUCUCCUAAAACGAUAUUAGGGUUGGAGUUAAAUGGCAAACUAACGACAUACCUUCCACUUGAGUUGCGAACAGUUGUUGCUGCGAAAUGCUUCUCGCAAGCAUUCUCCUCAACCGAUAGCACAGGAUCCUCGGCUAUGGUUUCACUCUCCCAGAACCGCUGCAUGGUCUCCUCCAGUGGGGUGUCGUAUGCAGAUAGAUGGCACAGCCGCGGACCGACUGACGAAUGAUGAGUGUUGCCGGUGACAACCCAACCAAAGUGGGUUUCGACCAGCCACGGUUUGCCUCUACCGAUAGAGCGCUUGCGACCGGUGUGGAGCUCCCAGAACGUAUCGCCUCCGAUGACGAUGUCGAUUUGCCCCGGACUGUUAAAGGUGCUGUCCGCCAAUGCCACGUCCGGCAUUUUCCAUGAAGAGACGUCCGUUGGUGAUGUAGGGAUGUUUGCGGAUGGCGUGUCCAGAACCAAGAAAGUCAUCUCCGUUGCGAAGGGUUGUGUCUUGGACUGAACGGUAGCGACGAUGGAACCCUUGAUCUGCUGUACUGCAUUGCCGAUGCCCGAUACAGCGACGUUGACUCUUUUGCGACUCGUCAGCAGUUUCCGUGCGAACUCCUCAGCGAUGAAAUUCGACAUGGAUCCCGAAUCCAACAACGCCCUUGCUUCAUGGGUGUUCCCGUAGUCAUCCUUGAUCUGGAUGUUUGCCGUCGCCAGAAACACAUUGUCUUCAUUCGACUGAGCUGACAAUGUUACCGUUGCGGGUGGAGCAUAGGGUGGUGAAUGAUGUAGAAGUGUGUGAUGACGCUCACGACACGUGCGACACGAAUAAUCCGACUUGCACGCUCUAACCUGAUGAUUGCUGCUCAAACAGUUCCAGCACAGCCGCUUCGAUGCGACGACGUCCCGUCGCUGUUGGACCUCCUUGGCGAUGAACACUGGACAGUUGCGCAGUGUGUGGUCUUCGGAACACUCCAAUGGACACUUUGGCUGUUGGGUGUGCGCAGUCGAUGCAGCAGGAGCCGAGCGAGAUGUAGCUGCAUUCGCGAUGAAUCUCCGUUGCCCUGGUUGACGAAUGAGACCGGCCACCUUGAUACCACUAGCUGCUUGAUCCUUCACGAAGUUGUUGGUCGAUUUCAAGAUUUGGAUACGAUCUUGCACGAAGUCGAUCACAUCCUUAUAUUUGUCCGUCGUGAAGUGCACGGAAUGUUUCUCCCAAGCCAACAAUGUCUCUCGAUCCAACUUCAUCAGCAGCAUGUUUGAGAGGGGUGUGUCCCACGAGUCAACCGGUUCGUUCAGCUUUUUCAACCCGUUGACGAAGCGGGUGAAUUCAUCCACCAGGUGCGUGAGCUUGUCAACGCACACCAAUUGCACUCCCGGAAGGUAGUGCAAUUUGCGAUAGUAUUCGCGAAUCAAAAGACGAGAAUUGUCGUACCGUUUAAGAAGCGCCGCCCAGGUAACCGAAUAGUUGUCCGCCGUUAAAGGUGUAUGCUCGAAGGGUACCGCCGCGUCCCCCUUCAACGAUGACAGUAAGUAUUGUAGCUUCGCGAUAGAUGGAAGCUCGGCUGAAGCGUCGAUCAUUGCGAUGAAGCGAUCUCGGAAAGAAAGCCAUUUUGUGUGAUCUCCGUCAAAUGUUGGAAGUUCGAUUUUGGGCAAACGUAAAUUUGGCGCGUGGGGUCGACCGAAUGCAAGCGUUGAGGAAGCCAAGCCCGUUGUAUCGUUGAGCGAACCUUCUUCCUUUGGCUGUCUUUCCCGUAGAAAUGAUUUUAGCUUGCGACAGCGUUCUUCAAUGUCGAUCCGUUCCAUUAUGCUGGCUUCGACCGCUUCGUCUUUAUCUUCAAGCUCUUCCAGUUUCGAAACUGCGGUGAAAAACUCUUCCUUAUGUUUCGCCAGAUCUUCUAACACCUCCGGAAUCUGCUUGGCAUCAUCACUCGAAUAUUUCGCCUGGAACCGUUCCAGCGAUUUUAUGUUCUCCAGGGCGAUCCUCUUUUUCAGUUGCACUGCUUUAAUUUUCUUAUCCAUUGCACAAAGAAAAUACUGCGAUAUCACACGAAA